UCGCUAGUGAUAGAAUUUAUCACUCACAAGCACCAAUCAAGUUCCGCCAUGUCAUGAACCAUUUUUCCAUCACUCACAACUUUUUUUAGUGGGGGUGGUCAUCACUCACCACCACACCCAACAAUUUCCCCCAAACCAACAAUUACCCUCACAAUUAAACACCAUCACGCCGUUGAAAAUAUCACGGAAUCAUCAAACCGUGAUGAUAUAACGCGUUUUCGUUAUGGCGGCGGUGGGAUGUUAUCAAACUCCACGCGUGAUAUUUGUCUAUCACGUUGCCACCCCGGGUCAUCUAAUUGUUUGAAAAUUGAUGAAACCGUACCACUUUGUUCGUAUGAUCGUAUCUUUUGACCAAGACCAAAGACAAUCGUCGCACCCCUUUUGUUUUGUUGUUUUUCCCAUUUUGUUAUAAUACAACAAUCAGAUGCGAUAUUCGGCCCAACAACCAGGCUAGUAGGUUGUUGUUUCACAACACGUUAUCAGCACGA
rnacentral:lncRNA from 1 species